rnacentral:lncRNA from 1 species
GCAAAAUGAAGACCCUUUGGAACAGAAAUAUCUUUGCCUCGCUGCAAACAGGGAGUCCCUUGAGGGUGGCGACCCGGAGGUUGUGCAGCAAACCACCCCCCGAGGAUGGGGCGCAGUUGCCCCGGCCCGCAGCCCCAGGCACAUCUUACCAACCUAUGUACAAGAACGUAGUCUCUCCCUCCAGGUGGAAUAGGAGAGUCUUAUUGUUGACGGGCCGUUACAAGAAAGAAGAGGACAUACCUGAAUUUGUGCCGGCUUCGGUCAUUCACGCUGCAGCAAGCAAGCUACGUGUGUACAUUGGCUGUGCCUCUAUUGUCCUGACACUCAUUAUGUUCUUCUUUGCAGCUCGUUCUGGGAAACGGGCUAUGGAAGAGGGUCGCAGCUUGAGGGCGGUGCACUUGGAGAAAAAAGCUAAACUCUUGGAGCAGACGAUGGAGAGUAGCUCACCCAAGGUGUAAUCAAGAGGAUUAGAUCAGAAGGCACAAGAUUGACUGACUGUCAUCUUUCAAUUAUGAAUCACUUGUGGAACAAAGUUUCAUUAGCUGCUUGCUCCUGUUUUCCACCUUCCAAAAAUAAAUACAUAAAUAAUUUUUUU